rnacentral:rRNA from 1 species
GCCUACAUGAAGCUGGAAUUGCUAGUAAUCACAGGUCAGCAUACUGUGGUGAAUACGUUCCCGGGCCUUGUACACACCGCCCGUCACACCAUGAGAGUUGAGAAUACCCGAAGCCCAUGUCAAAGUGGUCGAAGGUAGGCUUGAUGAUUCGGGGUGAAGUCGUAACAAGGUAAC